rnacentral:rRNA from 1 species
UGCGGUUAAAACGCUCGUAGUUGGAGAUCUGUCAAAAAAUACUGGUCCGCCCUCGUGGUGAGUACAUGGUAAGUUUUUGUCAUCAUCUUGGGGAACUUGUUUGCACUUUACUGUGUGACUUGAGAUCCAGGACUUUUACUUUGAGGAAAUGAGAGUGUUUCAAGCAGGCGGAAGCCCUGAAUACGUUAGCAUGGAAUAAUAGCAUCGGACCUCCUUCCAAAGCUGUUGGUUCAUUGGAAAGAGGUAAUGGUAAACAGGGAUAGUUGGGGGCAUUCGUAUUUAACUGUCAGAGGUGAAAUUCUUGGAUUUGUUAAAGACGAACUACUGCGAAAGCAUCUGCCAAGGAUGUUUUCAUUGAUCAAGAACGAAAGUUAGGGGAUCGAAGACGAUCAGAUACCGUCCUAGUCUUAACCAUAAACUAUGCCGACUAGAGAUUGGGGGCCGUCUUUAUAUGACGCCCUCAGCAUCUUGAGAGAAAUCAGAGUCUUUGGGUUCCGGGGGGAGUAUGGUCGUAAGGCUGAAACUUAAAGGAAUUGACGGAAGGGCACCACCAGGAGUGGAGCCUGCGGCUAAUUUUGACUCAAC